rnacentral:rRNA from 1 species
GGAACCUGCCUCAAAGAGGGGGACAACAGUUGGAAACGACUGCUAAUACCGCAUAAGCCCACGGCUCGGCAUCGAGCAGAGGGAAAAGGAGCAAUCCGCUUUGAGAUGGCCUCGCGUCCGAUUAGCUAGUUGGUGAGGUAACGGCCCACCAAGGCGACGAUCGGUAGCCGGACUGAGAGGUUGAACGGCCACAUUGGGACUGAGACACGGCCCAGACUCCUACGGGAGGCAGCAGUGGGGAAUAUUGCACAAUGGGGGAAACCCUGAUGCAGCGACGCCGCGUGGAGGAAGAAGGUCUUCGGAUUGUAAACUCCUGUUGUUGAGGAAGAUAAUGACGGUACUCAACAAGGAAGUGACGGCUAACUACGUGCCAGCAGCCGCGGUAAAACGUAGGUCACAAGCGUUGUCCGGAAUUACUGGGUGUAAAGGGAGCGCAGGCGGGAGAACAAGUUGGAAGUGAAAUCCAUGGGCUCAACCCAUGAACUGCUUUCAAAACUGUUUUUCUUGAGUAGUGCAGAGGUAGGCGGAAUUCCCGGUGUAGCGGUGGAAUGCGUAGAUAUCGGGAGGAACACCAGUGGCGAAGGCGGCCUACUGGGCACCAACUGACGCUGAG